GGCGAUGUAGCUCAGCUGGUUAGAGCACACGGCUCAUACCCGUGUUGUCGUUGGUUCGAUCCCAACCAUCGCUACCA
rnacentral:tRNA from 1 species